rnacentral:rRNA from 1 species
GAUGAACGCUGGCGGCGUGCUUAACACAUGCAAGUCGAACGGUGAAGCUCCAGCUUGCUGGAGUGGUUCAGUGGCGAACGGGUGAGUAACACGUGAGCAACCUGCCCCUGACUCUGGGAUAACAGCCGGAAACGGCUGCUAAUACCGGAUAUGCACCAUGAACGCAUGUUCUGUGGUGGGAAAGAUUUUUCGGUUGGGGAUGGGCUCGCGGCCUAUCAGCUUGUUGGUGAGGUAAUGGCUCACCAAGGCGUCGACGGGUAGCCGGCCUGAGAGGGUGACCGGCCACACUGGGACUGAGACACGGCCCAGACUCCUACGGGAGGCAGCAGUGGGGAAUAUUGCACAAUGGGCGAAAGCCUGAUGCAGCAACGCCGCGUGAGGGAUGACGGCCUUCGGGUUGUAAACCUCUUUUAGCAGGGAAGAAGCGAGAGUGACGGUACCUGCAGAAAAAGCGCCGGCUAACUACGUG